rnacentral:rRNA from 1 species
AGACUGGGAUAACUCCGGGAAAACGGGGCUAAUACCGGAUGGUUGUUUGAACCGCAUGGUUCAAACAUAAAAGGUGGCUUCGGCUACCACUUACAGAUGGACCCGCGGCGCAUUAGCUAGUUGGUGAGGUAACGGCUCACCAAGGCAACGAUGCGUAGCCGACCUGAGAGGGUGAUCGGCCACACUGGGACUGAGACACGGCCCAGACUCCUACGGGAGGCAGCAGUAGGGAAUCUUCCGCAAUGGACGAAAGUCUGACGGAGCAACGCCGCGUGAGUGAUGAAGGUUUUCGGAUCGUAAAGCUCUGUUGUUAGGGAAGAACAAGUACCGUUCGAAUAGGGCGGUACCUUGACGGUACCUAACCAUUAUAGCCACGGCUAACUACGUGCCAGCAGCCGCGGUAAUACGUAGGUGGCAAGCGUUGUCCGGAAUUAUUGGGCGUAAAGGGCUCGCAGGCGGUUUCUUAAGUCUGAUGUGAAAGCCCCCGGCUCAACCGGGGAGGGUCAUUGGAAACUGGGGAACUUGAGUGCAGAAGAGGAGAGUGGAAUUCCACGUGUAGCGGUGAAAUGCGUAGAGAUGUGGGAGGAACACCAGUGGCGAAGGCGACUCUCUGGUCUGUAACUGACGCUGAGGAGCGAAAGCGUGGGGAGCGAACAGGAUUAGAUACCCUGGUAGUCCACGCCGUAAACGAUGAGUGCUA